UCAAAAUAGCCGGCCUGGCCGAGCAGCGCCUACUCUCCUCCCCGCCGCCGCCGCCAGAUCCGGCGACCGCUGACCUCCUCGCCUCCAGCGCCGGCCCUGACACCCCCCGCGAGCCGCUGCGCGGCCGUCCAGCGUGCCCCGGCGCCCCGGCCAGCGGCCGCCCUCGCGCCCCAGUGUCCCGGACAGCGGCCGCCCGCGCGCGGCCCCCGAGGCCCGGCGCCCUGGAGCGGCUGCCUCCCGCGCCCCAUGCUCCCGGCUCGCGGCCACCCGCGGCCCCGGCGCCCCGUAGCCUCGGGGCGGCCUGUCUCGGCCCUACACGGCUCAGCAGCGGGGCGGCCUCGGAAGCGGGCGACCUGGCAGGUGGCGUGCGGCACCAAACCUCGGCGGCUAUUGCCUUCCCCUCCCAUUCCAGUCCCAUGUUGGGUCAGGAGGCCACAACGCUCGGGUGGAUUGUGUCCUGCGUUGGCGGCGGUGCGUCCGAGCGACGAGCCAAUGACGGCGGCAACAAGUUGUGCCGCCGUUCGGCUACGCAGAGGAGCAUGUGGUGGCCUCUUGCUGCUGUCGGCAGGCCGCGUAGCUACAGCGACGAGCUAGCAGCGGCGUAGGUGGUGCCCGUUGGCUUCUGCCUGCAAGCCGUGAGGGUCAACGCCGUGGCCAGCUGGGUGCAGUGAGGCAGCCCUGAUAUGACGAGGAUGCGGUGCUGUCCGACUGCAAAUACACUGCUCAAGGAGGUUAUCAGUGCCGAGGAGGUUCUCCAUCUCUUUGUCAGCCUUCAUGAUUGACUGGUGCAGCUCCCAGGGUUACCGCUUCAUAAGGUAGCCUGUUUCUUUUGGUGCUAGAUAUUCUGUAGCUAUCUACUACGAAUGAGAGAAUCUUGGCAAAGAGUCUCCCUAUAGGAUAGUUUGCCCUCCUUGUGUACUGGGCAGCUUAUUUUGAGUUCCUGACAGAUCACGGAGGUGAAUGAGUAGUGUAUGACAGUGGGUAUUAGGAGAAGGAUGCUUGCUCCGCGAUGUUGUUCUGUGUUACUAAAGUCAACCAGGUUUGAGUUUUCAUGUUUUGUUUGUGCCCCAUUGACCAGUAUAAUUUUGACAAUUCCAUUUUACAAGACCAAUAUAUAAAUGUUUUCUAUUCUGUUUCACAAGAAAA